rnacentral:rRNA from 1 species
AGAGUUUGAUCCUGGCUCAGAUUGAACGCUGGCGGCAGGCCUAACACAUGCAAGUCGAGCGGUAGCACAGGGAGCUUGCUCCUGGGUGACGAGCGGCGGACGGGUGAGUAAUGUCUGGGAAACUGCCUGAUGGAGGGGGAUAACUACUGGAAACGGUAGCUAAUACCGCAUAACGUCUACGGACCAAAGUGGGGGACCUUCGGGCCUCAUGCCAUCAGAUGUGCCCAGAUGGGAUUAGCUAGUAGGUGGGGUAAUGGCUCACCUAGGCGACGAUCCCUAGCUGGUCUGAGAGGAUGACCAGCCACACUGGAACUGAGACACGGUCCAGACUCCUACGGGAGGCAGCAGUGGGGAAUAUUGCACAAUGGGCGCAAGCCUGAUGCAGCCAUGCCGCGUGUGUGAAGAAGGCCUUCGGGUUGUAAAGCACUUUCAGCGAGGAGGAAGGGUAGUGUGUUAAUAGCACAUUGCAUUGACGUUACUCGCAGAAGAAGCACCGGCUAACUCCGUGCCAGCAGCCGCGGUAAUAC